AGCGGCGGACGGGUGAGUAACGCGCGGGAUCUCGCCCUUCUCUGCGGAUAGCCUCUGGAAACGGAGAGUAAUACCGCAUACGCCCUUCGGGGGAAAGAUUUAUUCGGAGAAGGAUUAGCCCGCGUUAGAUUAGAUAGUUGGUGGGGUAAUGGCCUACCAAGUCUACGAUCUAUAGCUGGUUUUAGAGGACGAUCAGCCACACUGGGACUGAGACACGGCCCAGACUCCUACGGGAGGCAGCAGUGGGGAAUCUUGCGCAAUGGGCGAAAGCCUGACGCAGCGAUGCCGCGUGGGGGAUGAAGGCUCUCGGGUCGUAAACCCCUUUCAGCAGGGACGAAAAUGACGGUACCUGCAGAAGAAGCCCCGGCCAACUACGUGCCAGCAGCCGCGGUAACACGUAGGGGGCGAGCGUUGUCCGGAUUUAUUGGGCGUAAAGAGCUCGUAGGCUGUUCAGUAAGUCAGGUGUGAAAACCCAAGGCUCAACCUUGGGACGCCACUUGAUACUGCUGUGACUAGAGUCCGGUAGAGGAGAUUGGAAUUCCUGGUGUAGCGGUGAAAUGCGCAGAUAUCAGGAGGAACACCAACGGCGAAGGCAGAUCUCUGGGCCGGU
rnacentral:rRNA from 1 species